UCUGUCCGUAGAACAAACACAGGUGAUGCCACUAUAUGGGUGAUCCAAUGCAUUGAAAAGUAGACCUAGAAACCAAAACCAUGAACCAAGUCCACCGGCAAACCCAAGACCAACCACAGAAGACUUUCCACAGGAGCCGCACGUGACAUUUGGUACCUUUCUCUCCGAGAAAUCACCGGAGACCACAGAAGAGUAGGCCUGGAUAUAUUCAGGUGUCCCAUGGCAGGCACAUGCCAAUGCAAUGACUGUUCAUGCUGGGGUCAUCUUCAGUGAGAAGCUGGACUUUUUGUUUUGUAAUGAAAUAUGGUCAUAAUGCAGAGAAAAGGAGAACUGCCUGAUGGAGGCACCAUGCCAGGCCUGUCACAUUGCCUUGUUUGAAUCUUCUCAACAACAGAGAAGUCACUUUUAUUAUCCUCUGCUGAGGGGUGGAGGAUGUGCUCAGAAACAUGAUUUAAUGGUAUAA
rnacentral:lncRNA from 1 species